rnacentral:rRNA from 1 species
GGUUAAGCGACUAAGCGUACACGGUGGAUGCCCUGGCAGUCAGAGGCGAUGAAGGACGUGCUAAUCUGCGAAAAGCGUCGGUAAGGUGAUAUGAACCGUUAUAGCCGGCGAUGUCCGAAUGGGGAAACCCAGUGCAAUUCGUUGCACUAUCGUUAACUGAAUACAUAGGUUAACGAGGCGAACCGGGGGAACUGAAACAUCUAAGUACCCCGAGGAAAAGAAAUCAACCGAGAUUCCCCCAGUAGCGGCGAGCGAACGGGGAGCAGCCCGGAGUCUGAAUCAGCUUGUGUGUUAGUGGAAGCGUCUGGAAAGUCGCAGGGUACAGGGUGAUACUCCCGUACACUAAAACACACAGGUUGUGAACUCGAAGAGUAGGGCGGGACACGUGGUAUCCUGUCUGAAUAUGGGGGGACCAUCCUCCAAGGCUAAAUACUCCUGACUGACCGAUAGUGAACCAGUACCGUGAGGGAAAGGCGAAAAGAACCCCGGCGAGGGGAGUGAAAAAGAACCUGAAACCGUGUACGUACAAGCAGUAGGAGCCCACUAGUUGGGUGACUGCGUACCUUUUGUAUAAUGGGUCAGCGACUUAUAUUCUGUAGCAAGGUUAACCGUAUAGGGGAGCCGCAGGGAAACCGAGUCUUAACUGGGCGUUAAGUUGCAGGGUAUAGACCCGAAACCCGGUGAUCUAGCCAUGGGCAGGUUGAAGGUUGGGUAACACUAACUGGAGGACCGAACCGACUAAUGUUGAAAAAUUAGCGGAUGACUUGUGGCUGGGGGUGAAAGGCCAAUCAAACCGGGAGAUAGCUGGUUCUCCCCGAAAGCUAUUUAGGUAGCGCCUCGUGAAUUCAUCUUCGGGGGUAGAGCACUGUUUCGGCUAGGGGGUCAUCCCGACUUACCAACCCGAUGCAAACUACGAAUACCGAAGAAUGUUAUCACGGGAGACACACGGCGGGUGCUAACGUCCGUCGUGAAGAGGGAAACAACCCAGACCGCCAGCUAAGGUCCCAAAGUCAUGGUUAAGUGGGAAACGAUGUGGGAAGGCCCAGACAGCCAGGAUGUUGGCUUAGAAGCAGCCAUCAUUUAAAGAAAGCGUAAUAGCUCACUGGUCGAGUCGGCCUGCGCGGAAGAUGUAACGGGGCUAAACCAUGCACCGAAGCUGCGGCAGCGACACUAUGUGUUGUUGGGUAGGGGAGCGUUCUGUAAGCCGUUGAAGGUGGCCUGUGAGGGUUGCUGGAGGUAUCAGAAGUGCGAAUGCUGACAUAAGUAACGAUAAUGCGGGUGAAAAACCCGCACGCCGGAAGACCAAGGGUUCCUGUCCAACGUUAAUCGGGGCAGGGUGAGUCGACCCCUAAGGCGAGGCCGAAAGGCGUAGUCGAUGGGAAACAGGUUAAUAUUCCUGUACUCGGUGUUACUGCGAAGGGGGGACGGAGAAGGCUAUGUUGGCCGGGCGACGGUUGUCCCGGUUUAAGCAUGUAGGCGGAUGUUCCAGGUAAAUCCGGAACGUUAUUAACGCUGAGGUGUGAUGACGAGGCACUACGGUGCUGAAGUGACAAAUGCCCUGCUUCCAGGAAAAGCCUCUAAGCAUCAGGUAACAUCAAAUCGUACCCCAAACCGACACAGGUGGUCAGGUAGAGAAUACCAAGGCGCUUGAGAGAACUCGGGUGAAGGAACUAGGCAAAAUGGUGCCGUAACUUCGGGAGAAGGCACGCUGAUGGUAGGUGAAGUGACUUGCUCAUGGAGCUGAAAUCAGUCGAAGAUACCAGCUGGCUGCAACUGUUUAUUAAAAACACAGCACUGUGCAAACACGAAAGUGGACGUAUACGGUGUGACGCCUGCCCGGUGCCGGAAGGUUAAUUGAUGGGGUUAUCCGUAAGGAGAAGCUCUUGAUCGAAGCCCCGGUAAACGGCGGCCGUAACUAUAACGGUCCUAAGGUAGCGAAAUUCCUUGUCGGGUAAGUUCCGACCUGCACGAAUGGCGUAAUGAUGGCCAGGCUGUCUCCACCCGAGACUCAGUGAAAUUGAACUCGCUGUGAAGAUGCAGUGUACCCGCGGCAAGACGGAAAGACCCCGUGAACCUUUACUAUAGCUUGACACUGAACACUGGUCCUUGAUGUGUAGGAUAGGUGGGAGGCUUUGAAGUGUGGACGCCAGUCUGCAUGGAGCCAUCCUUGAAAUACCACCCUUUAAUGGCUGGUGUUCUAACGUGGGCCCGUAAUCCGGGUUGCGGACAGUGUCUGGUGGGUAGUUUGACUGGGGCGGUCUCCUCCUAAAGAGUAACGGAGGAGCACGAAGGUCAGCUAAUCCUGGUCGGACAUCAGGAGGUUAGUGCAAUGGCAUAAGCUGGCUUGACUGCGAGCGUGACGGCGCGAGCAGGUGCGAAAGCAGGUCAUAGUGAUCCGGUGGUUCUGAAUGGAAGGGCCAUCGCUCAACGGAUAAAAGGUACUCCGGGGAUAACAGGCUGAUACCGCCCAAGAGUUCAUAUCGACGGCGGUGUUUGGCACCUCGAUGUCGGCUCAUCACAUCCUGGGGCUGAAGUAGGUCCCAAGGGUAUGGCUGUUCGCCAUUUAAAGUGGUACGCGAGCUGGGUUUAGAACGUCGUGAGACAGUUCGGUCCCUAUCUGCCGUGGGCGCUGGAGAAUUGAGGGGGGCUGCUCCUAGUACGAGAGGACCGGAGUGGACGCAUCACUGGUGUUCGGGUUGUCAUGCCAAUGGCAUUGCCCGGUAGCUAAAUGCGGAAGAGAUAAGUGCUGAAAGCAUCUAAGCACGAAACUUGCCCCGAGAUGAGUUCUCCCUGACCCUUUAAGGGUCCUGAAGGAACGUUGAAGACGACGACGUUGAUAGGCCGGGUGUGUAAGCGCAGCGAUGCGUUGAGCUAACCGGUACUAAUGAACCGUGAGGCUUAACCUU